rnacentral:rRNA from 1 species
GUGGGGAAUAUUGGACAAUGGGCGAAAGCCUGAUCCAGCCAUGCCGCGUGUGUGAAGAAGGUCUUCGGAUUGUAAAGCACUUUAAGUUGGGAGGAAGGGCAGUAAGUUAAUACCUUGCUGUUUUGACGUUACCAACAGAAUAAGCACCGGCUAACUUCGUGCCAGCAGCCGCGGUAAUACGAAGGGUGCAAGCGUUAAUCGGAAUUACUGGGCGUAAAGCGCGCGUAGGUGGUUUUGUAAGUUGGAGUGGAAAUCCCCGGGCUCAACCUGGGAACUGCCUCCAAAACUGCAUGGCUAGAGUACGGUAGAGGGUAGUGGAAUUUCCUGUGUAGCGGUGAAAUGCGUAGAUAUAGGAAGGAACACCAGUGGCGAAGGCGACUACCUGGACUGAUACUGACACUGAGGUGCGAAAGCGUGGGGAGCAAACAGGAUUAGAAACCCGGGUAGUCC